rnacentral:lncRNA from 1 species
CGUCUUAUUAUCAUCUCAGUUCCUAAUUAACACUCUAGCUAUAAGUCUCUCAACUCUUGGUUGUUUAAGAAAACAUUACUAACACAUGACAUCCUUAAGAAGCUUGUACCUCCGAGUGGCCGUUCUAGGAGAAGGUACACUAGUUUUACCCUUGUCGGCUACUGGAGGUAUACUACUACUUGCAGUAAUCUGGUUAAUCUCUUGGUUUUUGAUCUGGUUGGCUGAAGAAUAUUCCGACCGGUACGAUCUCUUAGACGAUCCAACGCUAACACCGUGCUUUGCUCCUGUUCGACUCUUCGCUUCAAACUGACACCAAUCGCAGAUCUUAAUUGGACCACCUUGCUCUUUGUAAUAGCUACUACAGUACCUAUAUCACGAUUAUCAUGAUGAUGAUGAGAUUAUGUAAGUAUAUAUAUGGUAGUUGUUGAAGCAGUUCUUGUCUGGUUUGACAAUAUAAACAUCCUAUUUAUAUCAUAUAUGCAUGCUUGUUAUUUGAUGUAUGAUGAUCAUCUGCCUAAAUUGAUAUGUACAUGGUGAAUGCACGUGGCACGUAAUCUCACCGUCAACUGCUAUUAAAAUCUAUUAUAUGUUGUUAAUAUGAAUGAUGAUGGUGAUGAUGUUACACAUAUAAUGUUAUGGAUAGACGACACAUAUGUAAAUACUUACGAGUGUUGAAAGCGAUUAAGGCACUUGCUGCAAUGAAAGAGCUUGUCGAAGAAACCCACAUCACCACACAUGCAACACACUUUUCUUUCGAGAUCCACCAUUCUUGUUUCCUUAGCUAGCAGAAGAUGGAGAAUAUAUGAAGGAGAGGAGGAGAUGUGAGAACGAGAGAGAACAAAAGGGAAGAACUGAUUCUAUAAGGAAAGAAGAGAGGAAAAUAAAUAUAAAUGUUUUAAUCUAAACUUAUUUUAUUCGCAAGUCGGUCCAUAAGUAAUAAUAUUUUCUUUAGAAAAUCAAGAAAGAUAUAUUUAAUAAAAUUAUAAUAUAGCGUAAUAAGGCAGGUAGAGACCGCAGGUUGCUUUGCAGUCGUUUUCAGUUGAGCUUGGGAGGUGUAGAAACAAAGAACCUUAAAAUAUAAAAAUUGACGAUUCAAAUGACGGUUCUACCCUUGUAUCUUUAUUUCCAUUUAUUGGUUGAAGCAUUUUCUUUGUCUUUUUUAGGGUUUUCACAGAGGGGGAUGUCAUUUCUUUGACUUUAUCUCCGUAUAUAGAGAGCGUGGCAGACACUCCCGUUUUGGUUAAUUAAGCCUCACAAGAUACAAAUCACACAAUUGCAUAUUAUUAUUUUAGAUAAUAAAAUAAAAGGUUGUACUUGGUGAAAGAAAAUCUGAUAUCAUCGUGAAAAUUAGUUGCAUUUAAAUACGUAUAAACCCAUAGUAUUGAAAAACAUGUGAAUAUAUAAAACUAAUGGUUUCAGUCUCCAAGAUUGAUAAUUAUCUCUAUCAAUACGUUUGAUCACCGUUUAAUUUACACGGUAACCUUGAAAAUGAAGAACUAUUUAUUUAAUAUAUGAUAUGGUAUCAAAUAUGGUUGUGCAAAUUUAACAAGAACUUGAUUCGUUAGAAAUAUGUGAAAGAAAGUCGAUGCUUUAAUAUCAUCUUCAAAUAGAUCUACUUUUAUGAAUCCAUGUGUUUCAUAGACAAAUGCAUUCAGAGGAUCAUAAUAAAUUUGAAUAUAGACUAGUCAACUCGUUCAAUUUCUCGUGCAUUGCAUUAAAAUCUUAAAUAAACUUUCUGGAAUCCUAAGUUUUAGAUAUCGUUUACCUUUUAUAUAUCAUAGUUAUAUAAAAUGUAACUUGUGAAACUUCUUGGCAAUAUAUAUUUUUAAGACCCAAGUUACUACGUACAUGUACGUACGUGACCGAAUACGCUAAUCGUGUCGGAGUUGCAUUAUCACAUCAUUUCCAGAACACUCCUAUUUAAUUAAUCCUAUAACGCGUGCGUGUAUAAAGCUAUGUUAUAUAUGUAUGUAUCCAUCCACUAGUAAAACCCGUGUGCUAUGCAUUUUAUAUAUACAACUGACGAAACAUAUUAACAUGCUUAACUUUUUUUGUGUUCUUCAACUUUAACAUACUUAGCUAGACGACGUUUAUAAAUGUGAUUGGUUCUAAGUUGUUGGAGACUUUUACAGAUUAUCAAACUGACAUAUACACACGAUAGAUUAGUAUAAGUUGAUGAGUGGAGCCCACUUUUAACUGUUCUUGGGAGUAUAUUUAUAUUUGGAAAUGUAAUAUUGAUGGUAAAACGUAUUCAUAUAAGAAAAUCAGCCAAUUCGAGAAUCAUGCUAUAAUAGUGCCAGUCAACUCUGACAACAUUUUUUCCCAAUAUGUUACGCAAGAAAACAGAACACAUCUAACGUGUUCGUACAAGAAGAAAAUAUCAUAAACCGUGUUCGUACAAGAAGAAAUUAUCAUAAACCCUAGACUUUAGUUCAGAUGUAGUUUAUAGCUUAACUAGUUUUAUUAAGAUACUUUCUAUUUAUGUAAGGGUUGAAGAUUUUAAUUAAAACAUCAGUUUUGAAUUUCUAAUUCGAACAAUAACACUCAAUUGUGUACUUUUCAUUUUAUCUUUCUGAAACUUUGAAUUAAUUUAUUUCUAAUGAGUGUAAGAGAAAUUUGUUUAUAUUAAUUGACUACAAAUUCUCUCUUACAUUCUUUCGUUUAGUAUUAUAAGUUUUAUAGCUAUAUAAUGUAGUUUUAUCUUGUUCCAAAAAACAAUAGAUGUACGUUAUAAAAGAGAGUCUGGACUUGUUAGGGUUUUUAAGUUUUUAGUGAUGAUUUUCUUUUUUUUUUGGGUCAAAGUUUUUAGUGCUGAUUUAGUAUGUAUGUCGAGAAGGAUCGAUAAUUCGAUAGUCUAAGAGAUAAAUACAAAAGUCAUUCAUAAAUAUUUAUUAUAUCGUAAGGAGUUUUCCAAAACAUGAGUAAAGUUAUUCACAGAUAUUUUAUUAUAUAAUCAUAAGGAGUUUAUUUUACUCCAAAACAGGAGUGUCUAUACAUUGUAUAAAACUGUCACAUAUUUUUAUGAAUAGUUAACUGGAGUUUAUACUAGGCUACAUGCAUGAAUCAAGUACAAAACAAAACCCGAUAGUAAAUUAAAAGUGCCAUCCGAAACCAUGUAUGCUGGAAACGGAGAAGAGGUUUAUCUCUGCUCUUAUCCCUAACUUGAAAGAUUAUGAACUUUCCAAAAUUUCACAAGAUUUCAAAACGAAUAACUCGAAAUGACCACUGAAAGGAUAUAUUUCAAGUGCUUGAUGUAUAUUACCUCUAAGACAGUACUUGCGGGUUUGUAUUUUGUACUAUGGAUUAAGUAUAUUAUACAUAUCACAUAUUAAUUCAUGGACAAGUUGAUAGAGAGAUACAUUGAAUAAUUUAGAGAAAGUGGGGAAUAUUCAUAACCCCUCUUAGAAGCUUUGUAUGUGAGAAAGCCAUAUAGAUAAAAUUAGAUAUGGACAUGAGGACAUUGAGGAGGUAGACUCUCUGUUCCAUGCUUCGCUCUUAUUACCUUUAAGGGGACCAUAUGUCUGUACAUAUUUUGUCCAUUAAUCUCAACCUUACGCGUGUCUCUGCAUAACACAUGCAUCGAAAUAUCUAAAAAGCUAUAUAGCGUUGUCUUAACGGCAAGUUCACUAGAAGUCGCAACGCGUGUCCCCACUUAUUCGACAAGAAGUCAGUCACAUGUUUUUUAUCACUUGUUUAAGCGGUAUUGUUUGUGGCAAAAGGAAAAUUAAAGAGAAAGGACGUCGAACGAAUUUGAGUGGCAUAGAAAGAAGGUGGCAGCUUUUAUUUUAUUUAUAGCCGUCUAAUAUAAAUCGUUCCAUAGAUACCACUAAUUGCUUAAUGUUUUUAAUACAUUAAAUCGUGUUAUCAAUACAAAAAAAAAUCAUUAUUAAGAUGAUUGUGAACUAUGUGGCAUCAUCAAAUGCCGAUCGAGGGAUAACAACAAACACACAAAAUUUAUUGCUAAUUAACCAAUCAUUCAACUCAAAGAUACAUAAAAUUUAUUUAAAACACUCACUAACAUCAUCAUAUCCAUAACAUACAUAUCUCCGCAGGUACGUUACAUUGCUUCUCACGCUUAUAGCAACAUCUACGACAUCCCUAAUUGUAUCUUACAUUCAUGCGUCUUAUUAUCAUCUCAGUUCCUAAUUAACACUCUAGCUAUAAGUCUCUCAACUCUUGGUUGUUUAAGAAAACAUUACUAACACAUGACAUCCUUAAGAAGCUUGUACCUCCGAGUGGCCGUUCUAGGAGAAGGUACACUACUUUUACCCUUCUCGGCUACUGGAGGUAUACUACUACUUGCAGUAAUCUGGUUAAUCUCUUGUUGUUUGACCUGGUUGGCUGAAGAAUACAACGACCGGUACGAUCUCUUAGACGAUCCAACGCUAACACCGUGCUUUGCUCCUGUUCGACUCUUCGCUUCAAACUGACACC